rnacentral:misc_RNA from 1 species
GAGAGAAAGAGAGAGAACAAUGAUUUUUUAAUAAAGUUGCUGAAUAUAGGAUUUUCUUCAGUGUUGUAUAUGAAGCAAUUAAUAAUUAUUCAGUAAUCAGUAGCAACUAGAAACCAUGAGCUGCUAACGAUGUAGUUGUAUAACCUGGAGAAAUUACAAUUGGUGGUGGCAUCAGACUUUGAUUAUAGUUAGCGUUCAUGGUUUAUUUCUAAACUCCUCAAAUUCUAUAUAUGCCAUUGCUCUAAAACCAUAAAUUGCCUUACAUGAUGGAUGUUUCACAUUUCAUUCAAACUUUUUAGACAAUAAGAAGUGUAUUUUAGGGCAUACCUCAACCGCAUAUUGUACUUUGUUAUGCCCUGGUUCAUUUGAUUACUGGGCUGUAUGUUAUAUUUUAUUAGGUUGCAACUUUAUCUCUUUGUUAUCGUUUACUACGUUUGCUUUAUAAUGUCUUUUUCCCUCUAAAUUGAAUGGCUUGAAG